GAUGAACGCUGGCGGCGUGCCUAAUACAUGCAAGUCGAGCGAACGGACGAGAAGCUUGCUUCUCUGAUGUUAGCGGCGGACAGGUGAGUGACACGUGGAUAACCUACCUAUAAGACUGGGAUAACUUCGGGAAACCGGAGCUAAUACCGGAUAAUAUUUUGAACCGCAUGGUUCAAAAGUGAAAGACGGUCUUGCUGUCACUUAUAGAUGGAUCCGCGCUGCAUUAGCUAGUUGGUAAGGUAACGGCUUACCAAGGCAACGAUGCAUAGCCGACCUGAGAGGGUGAUCGGCCACACUGGAACUGAGACACGGUCCAGACUCCUACGGGAGGCAGCAGUAGGGAAUCUUCCGCAAUGGGCGAAAGCCUGACGGAGCAACGCCGCGUGAGUGAUGAAGGUCUUCGGAUCGUAAAACUCUGUUAUUAGGGAAGAACAUAUGUGUAAGUAACUGUGCACAUCUUGACGGUACCUAAUCAGAAAGCCUCGGCUAACUACGUGCCAGCAGCCGCGGUAAUACGUAGGUGGCAAGCGUUAUCCGGAAUUAUUGGGCGUAAAGCGCGCGUAGGCGGUUUUUUAAGUCUGAUGUGAAAGCCCACGGCUCAACCGUGGAGGGUCAUUGGAAACUGGAAAACUUGAGUGCAGAAGAGGAAAGUGGAAUUCCAUGUGUAGCGGUGAAAUGCGCAGAGAUAUGGAGGAACACCAGUGGCGAAGGCGACUUUCUGGUCUGUAACUGACGCUGAUGUGCGAAAGCGUGGGGAUCAAACAGGAUUAGAUACCCUGGUAGUCCACGCCGUAAACGAUGAGUGCUAAGUGUUAGGGGGUUUCCGCCCCUUAGUGCUGCAGCUAACGCAUUAAGCACUCCGCCUGGGGAGUACGACCGCAAGGUUGAAACUCAAAGGAAUUGACGGGGACCCGCACAAGCGGUGGAGCAUGUGGUUUAAUUCGAAGCAACGCGAAGAACCUUACCAAAUCUUGACAUCCUUUGACAACUCUAGAGAUAGAGCUUUCCCCUUCGGGGGACAAAGUGACAGGUGGUGCAUGGUUGUCGUCAGCUCGUGUCGUGAGAUGUUGGGUUAAGUCCCGCAACGAGCGCAACCCUUAAGCUUAGUUGCCAUCAUUAAGUUGGGCACUCUAAGCUGACUGCCGGUGACAAACCGGAGGAAGGUGAGGAUGACGUCAAAUCAUCAUGCCCCUUAUGAUUUGGGCUACACACGUGCUACAAUGGACAAUACAAAGGGCAGCGAAACCGCGAGGUCAAGCAAAUCCCAUAAAGUUGUUCUCAGUUCGGAUUGUAGUCUGCAACUCGACUACAUGAAGCUGGAAUCGCUAGUAAUCGUAGAUCAGCAUGCUACGGUGAAUACGUUCCCGGGUCU
rnacentral:rRNA from 1 species